AAAAUUUGUAUAAAAUAAUAUUUGGGGGAUUUGGUACCUCAGAUAUUUGCCAUAGGUAGAGGUUUAUGUCUGAGAGGCCCGACUCAACACAAACUGAGUGGCCCAUCUGUUCGAGGUGUUGCACUGCUGUACAAGAUGAUAUUGCCUACACCAUGUACAACCUAUAUAUC